rnacentral:rRNA from 1 species
UCAGAACGAACGCUGGCGGCAGGCUUAACACAUGCAAGUCGAACGCCCCGCAAGGGGAGUGGCAGACGGGUGAGUAACGCGUGGGAACAUACCCUUUCCUGCGGAAUAGCUCCGGGAAACUGGAAUUAAUACCGCAUACGCCCUACGGGGGAAAGAUUUAUCGGGGAAGGAUUGGCCCGCGUUGGAUUAGCUAGUUGGUGGGGUAAAGGCCUACCAAGGCGACGAUCCAUAGCUGGUCUGAGAGGAUGAUCAGCCACAUUGGGACUGAGACACGGCCCAAACUCCUACGGGAGGCAGCAGUGGGGAAUAUUGGACAAUGGGCGCAAGCCUGAUCCAGCCAUGCCGCGUGAGUGAUGAAGGCCUUAGGGUUGUAAAGCUCUUUCACCGAUGAAGAUAAUGACGGUAGUCGGAGAAGAAGCCCCGGCUAACUUCGUGCCAGCAGCCGCGGUAAUACGAAGGGGGCUAGCGUUGUUCGGAAUUACUGGGCGUAAAGCGCACGUAGGCGGAUAUUUAAGUCAGGGGUGAAAUCCCGCAGCUCAACUGCGGAACUGCCUUUGAUACUGGGUAUCUUGAGUAUGGAAGAGGUAAGUGGAAUUCCGAGUGUAGAGGUGAAAUUCGUAGAUAUUCGGAGGAACACCAGUGGCGAAGGCGGCUUACUGGUCC